rnacentral:rRNA from 1 species
CCUACGGGUGGCAGCAGUGGGGGAUAUUGCACAAUGGGGGAAACCCUGAUGCAGCGACGCCGCGUGAGUGAAGAAGUAUUUCGGUAUGUAAAGCUCUAUCAGCAGGGAAGAAAAAAGACGGUACCUGACUAAGAAGCCCCGGCUAACUACGUGCCAGCAGCCGCGGUAAUACGUAGGGGGCAAGCGUUAUCCGGAUUUACUGGGUGUAAAGGGAGCGUAGACGGCAAUACAAGUCGGAAGUGAAAUACCCGGGCUCAACCUGGGAACUGCUCUUGGAACUGCGUGGCUGGAGUGCAGGAGGGGCAGGCGGAAUUCCUGGUGUAGCGGUGAAAUGCGUAGAUAUCAGGAGGAACACCGGUGGCGAAGGCGGCCUGCUGGACUGCAACUGACGUUGAGGCCCGAAAGCGUGGGGAGCAAACAGGAUUAGAUACCCGGGUAGUC